GAGAGUAUAGCUCAGUGGUAGAGUCCAUGCUUAGCAUGCAUGACAUACUGGGUUCAAUUCCCAGUACCUUUG
rnacentral:tRNA from 1 species